AAGCUAUGGGGGGUUUGAGCCAACAUGGCGGUUCGAGGGCUGCAGUUGCAGACACGCCCCCUGUGAGUCAGAGGGUUUUAGUAGAGCUACUGUAAUGACAGCCCAAAGCUGUCCACGUCAACACUGAGCUACCACCAUGGACUCCGCGGCUCUGGAACCCUCGCUCUACACUGUGAAGGCUGUCUUCAUCUUAGACAACGAUGGAAACAGACUGCUUUCAAAGUACUAUGAUCCAGAACUCUACCCCUCCAUGAAAGAGCAGAAGAAUUUUGAAAUGAACGUCUUCAACAAAACCCAUAAAGCUGACAAUGAAAUUUCUUUCUUAGAGGGAAUGACGAUAGUCUACAAGAGCAGCAUAGACUUGUUCUUCUAUGUUGCUGGCAGCGCUCAGGAGAAUGAGCUCAUGCUGAUGGCAGUGUUGAACUGCUUGUUUGAGUCUCUCAGUCAGAUGUUGAGGAAGAAUGUGGAGAAAAGGACUCUGUUGGAUAAUAUGGAUGGAGUGUUCCUUGUGGUGGAUGAAAUCAUCGAUGGAGGGGUGAUCCUAGAGAGUGACCCCCAGCAGGUCAUUGAGAAGGUCAACUACAGGUGUGUGUCAGAACAAGCGUAUGGCUUCGUCCUUUUUGAUUACAUCACUGGUAACAUGGAGGACCAAGGAGAGAAGCGGCAGCUCCUGUAGCUCUCCUUCAGCCCCCCUCCCUCACUCCCUCUGAUUUAGAGCUGGAUAGAGACGGGAGAGAGAGAGGGACGAGGGUGAGAGAGUGUGCAGGCAGAUGACAACCCAUUAUCAGAACAGAGUGUGGCACAGGUGUUACAGUCAGCAAAGGAGCAGAUCAAGUGGUCAAUUCUAAAAUAACAUUUUCCAUGACCUGAAGGAAUCUGUAAAUUAGGAAGGAAUUACAUUUUUUAUUUUUAAUGAGUUAUAAUUUAAUUAAUUAUUUAAGUAAUGCAGUUGCAUUUCAUGUUUAGUACUGAAAUAUGUAUAUUUUUUGCCAAAGAGUACAUUUUUUUUUAAGUGAUAUGAUAUAAAGAUGCAUAUUUGCUUACUGGGUUCUGAACUUAACAUCAUUAAAUACACGCAUACCUGUCUAUUUCAGUACAAAGCCGCUUUAAAGCAAUUACAACUCUUUUUAACCUCUGCAAAUAUUGGUAUAAUGCUGUUCUGUCCAGAGGAGGAACAGUCAUGUCUUCUUCUAGCACAGCCUGUCUUAGCACAGUUUUGUUAUUUUGAUUAUGCUUUAAAACCUUUUGUCAAAAUAAUAAUAAUAAUAAUAAUUGACAAAGUUUUGUUACACUAAGUCUCUAUAUUUUGCUAUUUAAAAUUGUAUGUUUUUUUUUUUUGUUGUUGUUGUUGUUCAAAUGAGAAAAAGGCAAUAUUAUGAAAUUGACAGAGUCAGAUAGAGGCAUUAGUAUAAUAAUAUAGCCCACUAUAAUAAAAAUAAUUUACUGAUAAGCCACAAUUACAUAUACUUUAGAAAUAUGGAAAGUAAUAGCAUUUACUAGGUUUUAAAUAAAGUAUUUUGUUUUGGUGAUACAAAAUAACAAUAAAGUAACAUUUCCAUGAAAAUAAAAUAUUAAAUUUUUAUAGUCAGAUAAAUUGUGUAUAUUCUGCUGAUUUGUUUAUAUAUAUAUAAACCAUGGUUUCAGGAAAUAAUAUGCACAAAAAUGUCACUAAAAACUAAUAAAUGUU